AUAAAUUUAAAAUAAAAAAUGCGCAACGACAGUCCGAUCUAGCUUCUCAUAGCAAAGGUGUGAGGGGUUGAGAUUUCAAUCUCUUCGGGAAUUUCAAGAGUCGUUCGUAGAAAUCUCUUACCCUCAUAUGGAAUCGUCAGCUCCGUGCAAAAUGAAUCAACGGAAUGUCUCAAACAAUGUCCCCGAUUCGAGAAUCAUUAGUGCUCAUACCGACGCGAGUAAUUAGCCACGACGUUAAAUUUCCAACGCCCGAGCGCGCGAUCGAUUAUUCCCCGAUUGCGUGGAGCAGGUGGUCGGCUAACGUUCCUGAAAAACUCGACGAUGGAAUCGUCGAGACGUGCCAAGGUGUCGGUUACGAGAAUCGGAAUUAUCCGUACUUAGAGGUUAGUCGCUCGGAGACCUGGUCGCGCGACCAGCUGUGCGUUAUUAAAUUGUACCUCCAUCUGUGGCGAAUCUGCCUUCGCGGGGACGCCAUUCGCGCCAAAAAGGCGCGUUAAAUUUACGAACGAGACAAUCGCGACGGCCAAUCUCCCGCAUCGAUCCUAAAAUACGCAGCUAAUCAGGAGCGAACGUCAGCCCACACUGACAAUUGUCCCGAAUUGCGUCUCGAUUGUCGAGAUCGCGCGAGACGUUGGAUCGAUCGAAAUCGAAGAAAUCCGCGUCUGAUUUCAAGCCGUGACGGCUUUCAAGUGAACGGAUCCUCGACUCUCGGGCGCAAAUCUCAGCUUAUUUCGAGCGGGUUCGUAUCCUACUGAGAACAGGUAAGCUCGUCUCUCCUCGACAUCGAUCACCGACUCCGACAGCCGCGGCUGGAGCACGACGAAAUCCAAUUAAUCCAUCGUGAUACGCGUUAACCUUGCAAGAGGAGGACACGAACUUAGGCUCUCACUCGGUCGCAUCGAUCACAAACGAGCCCUACCGCGAUAGGAGUCAUCGGCGAAUUCGCGGGACCAAGACGACUCGCAGCCGACGUCUGAUUCCUGCUCGAAUAUCCGCGGACCGCUCCAGGACUUGGAACAUUCGCGUACCCCAACACAGACGGAAAUAAGCUCGUCAAGUUCGGCCCUGUGCUUCCGAAGCACGUCGCAUGGCCCGGUUGGCGUACUCGCGCUCGGCGUCACCAGUCGGAUCAAUAACGCCCGUCAGGUUCAGCUGAAUGUCUGGGGACACAUGGAGGGAGGCGAGUACGAGGGUCUGUAACACACGUGCAAAAAAUCGGCCCAAAAUAAAGACUGGAAAAACAACAAAAUCAGAGGAAUAUACUACUAUAUAAUUAUAAGAGGACAAAGCACAGGAUAAGGAUAUAUAUAUGUGUGUGUGUGGAACUUUGUGAAAAAUGUGGCGUAACAAAUAUAUAUCGACAUAAGUGAAAAUCGUAAUGUGAUGAAUAAAUUUAAACGACACUGUUAGACUUAGGCCCACGUUUUUUUUUUUCAAUGAGAGUCACUUCCAAAUCGGAUUAUCAUUGUCAGAAGUAAAAGGAAUCGAUUUGAAUCUGACUGUGUGGGCCUAAAUCAUGGGCUAUACGAAAAGUGCACUAUACAAUGGUCCCACUACUUUUCGGCUGACUUACU